GAUGAACGCUGGCGGCGUGCCUAAUACAUGCAAGUCGAGCGAACGGACGAGAAGCUUGCUUCUCUGAUGUUAGCGGCGGACGGGUGAGUAACACGUGGAUAACCUACCUAUAAGACUGGGAUAACUUCGGGAAACCGGAGCUAAUACCGGAUAAUAUUUUGAACCGCAUGGUUCAAAAGUAAAAGACGGUCUUGCUGUCACUUAUAGAUGGAUCCGCGCUGCAUUAGCUAGUUGGUAAGGUAACGGCUUACCAAGGCAAUGAUGCAUAGCCGACCUGAGAGGGUGAUCGGCCACACUGGAACUGAGACACGGUCCAGACUCCUACGGGAGGCAGCAGUAGGGAAUCUUCCGCAAUGGGCGAAAGCCUGACGGAGCAACGCCGCGUGAGUGAUGAAGGUCUUCGGAUCGUAAAACUCUGUUAUUAGGGAAGAACAUAUGUGUAAGUAACUGUGCACAUCUUGACGGUACCUAAUCAGAAAGCCACGGCUAACUACGUG
rnacentral:rRNA from 1 species